rnacentral:rRNA from 1 species
CCCUUAGAUGUUCUGGGCCGCACGCGCGCUACACUGAAUGGAUCAACGUGUUUUCCCUUCCCGAGAGGGACGGGUAACCCGCUGAACCCCAUUCGUGGUAGGGAUCGGAGCUUGCAAUUGUUCUCCGUGAACCAGGAAUUCCCAGUAAGCGCAAGUCAUAAGCUUGCGUUGAUUACGUCCCUGCCCUUUGUACACACCGCCCGUCGCUACUACCGAUUGAAUGGUCCGGUGAAAUCUCGGGACGGCGGCUUGGUCGCUUGCGUCCGACUGCUGAAACUUGAUUAAACCAUAUCAUUUAGAGGAAGGUGAAGUCGUAACA